rnacentral:rRNA from 1 species
GGACUACUCGGGUAUCUAAUCCCGUUCGCUACCCUGGCUUUCGUGUCUCAGCGUCAGCACACUCCCAGCUACCUGUUUUCACCCUUGGCGUUCCAAAUGAUAUCUACGCAUUUCACCGCUCCACCAUUUGUUCCGGUAGCCCCUAAGUGGCUCAAGACUCCCAGUAUGCCCAGCCGUUCCACGGGUAAGCCGUGGGAUUUCACAAGGCACUUAGAAGUCCGCCUACACACGCUUUAAGCCCAGUGAUUCCGCCUAACGCUCGAGGCCUCUGUAUUACCGCGGCUGCUGGCAC